rnacentral:rRNA from 1 species
AGCAGCAGUGGGGAUAUUGCACAAUGGGGGAAACCCUGAUGCAGCGACGCAGCGUGCGGGAUGACGGCCUUCGGGUUGUAAACCGCUUUCAGCAGGGAAGAAGCGAAAGUGACGGUACCUGCAGAAGAAGUACCGGCUAACUACGUGCCAGCAGCCGCGGUAAUACGUAGGGUACGAGCGUUGUCCGGAAUUAUUGGGCGUAAAGAGCUCGUAGGUGGUUGGUCACGUCUGCUGUGGAAACGCAACGCUUAACGUUGCGCGGGCAGUGGGUACGGGCUGACUAGAGUGCAGUAGGGGAGUCUGGAAUUCCUGGUGUAGCGGUGAAAUGCGCAGAUAUCAGGAGGAACACCGGUGGCGAAGGCGGGACUCUGGGCUGUAACUGACACUGAGGAGCGAAAGCAUGGGGAGCGAACAGGAUUAGAUACCCUGGUAGUCCAUGCCGUAAACGUUGGGCACUAGGUGUGGGGGACAUUCCACGUUCUCCGCGCCGUAGCUAACGCAUUAAGUGCCCCGCCUGGGGAGUACGGUCGCAAGGCUAAAACUCAAAGGAAUUGACGGGGCCCCCC